rnacentral:rRNA from 1 species
UAAUGCACAAUGGGGGAAACCCUGAUGCAGCGACGCCGCGUGAGCGAAGAAGUAUCUCGGUAUGUAAAGCUCUAUCAGCAGGGAAGAANNUGACGGUACCUGAGUAAGAAGCUCCGGCUAAAUACGUGCCAGCAGCCGCGGUAAUACGUAUGGAGCAAGCGUUACCCGGAUUUACUGGGUGUAAAGGGAGCGUAGGCGGCCUGCCAAGUCUGAUGUGAAAUACCGGGGCUCAACCCCGGGGCUGCAUUGGAAACUGGCAGGCUGGAGUGUCGGAGAGGCAGGCGGAAUUCCUAGUGUAGCGGUGAAAUGCGUAGAUAUUAGGAGGAACACCAGUGGCGAAGGCGGCCUGCUGGACGAUGACUGACGCUGAGGCUCGAAAGCGUGGGGGGCAAACAGG